CUAUUAUUAUAUCCCUCCACCAAGUGUACACGUGUCAGCACCAAAGGUAUCAUUAACCCUACACUGACUUACUCUUAAAUAGCAUCCGAUAGACCUCGCAUUCACAAUAUCCCUGAAUGUGACCACUCACUUUACCUUAAAGGAGUCAUCCACCUAGGCUUAACUGCGAAUACUAUCCUAAUGUGAUCACACUUCCAAGAUGAUAAUGAGCCUAUUUAGGCAAAACUACCUUGUAUUAGUAGAAUCCCAUGAUAUAUGAUUAUGAUUAUCCACUAC
rnacentral:lncRNA from 1 species